AUCUUUUGAGCUUGGCUUACUUCUUGAGUAAAAUUAAAAUAAUUCCGUAUUUGUCUCCGGGCCGGUUUUGUCUUUUAUCGGAUGAAAAUGUACGUCAUUUUUGACGUCACUGCUGCAGCAGACGUGCUGGGUGUAUUGGAAAGGUGCAUGCAGUAACUUGAGUUCAGUGUCACAUUGCUGCGUCUAAAAAGCCCAAAGCUGAUAAGACUGGCGAUUGAUCCUAAAGCUGAUUUGACAGAAGAUUGCAUCUUCACAAUAUUAAAGGUUCAAUAUACAGUCAGCGUCUCAUAAGAAUAAAUCCCAAGAUCCAAGACUUGCUUAAAAGCUUAAUUAAGAGACCAUUCUGUGCCACAAAGAAAGUGUUCAGGAAAGGGAGAAAUGGUGGAUUUGCAUUUUGGGUACAGUUCAAAGAGAGUUCAAAAUGGUCAAGCUCAUGGAAGAUCAGAGGGAGGACAACUGAAGAAAACUGAAAGAUACAGAAGGAAAAAGAACAAGAAAAUAUAUGAAAUAAUUAUGAAAUUGGGAGGAUGUACACAAUCUUGUCUGCAUUUGACCUGUAAAGAUUUAAUUCCCAUUCUUAUUUGUAUGCUGUAAUAUCAAAUAACUUGAUUUUUCAUAAAUUUACAAUAGAGAAUACAUGACAAAUGUUACAUGUGAUAUUUCAAUUUUGCUUUGGACACUUUCAUGACAAAUCAUAUAAAUUAUAAAAAAAGUACACAUGGACUAAUUAUGUUAUUCAUUUGUACAUGUAUGCAUGUUUA